GUGAACUUACUAUUCACCUUCUUCUCCACACUCUUCCUCUUUCCUUCAUGAUUAAAGCCCUAGCGCCACCCCUCUUCACCAUGCAUCUUUGGCCACCCUCGCAAGCGGUACAUCUCCAUCAUCUCGACUACAAUCCUCUUCCGUUCCGAAGUUGAAGCAUCCACUGUACGCUGUCGAAGCCGAGCCCGUCGCGUGAGUCCUCGUCUGCGCCGUGUUCUUUACCGUCGCGAGUCACCGACCGCCUCAACUCAUCAGAUCCGAACGUCUCUCUCCGCACACAGUCUGUCACGUGAGUCCGUCGUCCGAGCCACCUUCUCGCGAAGCCAAGCCAGUUUUCCCUUCACCGAGCCAGUUUUGCGUAAGCCGUACGCGAGCCACGUAAAACCGAGCCACUUUCGUGUGAGCGUACGCGAGCCACACUCACUGAGCCAGUUUCGUGUAAGCCAUACGCGAGCCACGUGUAUCGAGCCAUUCUUAUGUAAGCCGUACGCGAGCCGGAAGUCCAAGACCCGAGCCGAAGCCCUUGCUAGCCGAGCCACCUUCAGUUUUAGUCGUCUGCAAUAUAUUUGAGCCCUUAGUGAGUUUUGGUUAGUUCUGGUUGGGUUUGGUAUGCGCAAAUAAUUAUUGUUUUCGGUCUUAAAAGAGUUAGCGCUGGAAUGAGUUGAAUUAUGUUGUUUAAAGGUUAAGGUGUGGUUUGAGGAAUUGAGUUGUGCAAAUUUCCAUUCAAGGUUGUAUUGGGAUCAACUUUAAACCUGCUGUAAGUUUAGAUAAGUUGGUUGCCUAAUUAAAAGUCGAAAAAAUUAUUAAGUUUAAUUUAUAAUUAAUUUUGAUAAUGUUUUAGGACUGAGUUUAUUGGGAGGAUUUAAGUUUAAUUUAUAAUUAAUUUUGAUAAUGUUUUAGGACUGAGUUUAUUGGGAGGAUUUGACUCUCAAUGAGAGGAGUACUAUUUCUUUUGCUUGUUUAGUGGUGUAACUAAGAGAUGUAUAAUAUGUAUAUUUGAGAUGACCUUAUAAAUAGUUACUUCGGGAACCAUAUUAUGAUUUAGAUACAAUAUUAUUUAUUGAGGCAUGUUAUGACCAAAUAUGUACUUUUGAGUUAUGUCUAACUGAGCUAAGAUGUUGAUGUUAUGAUAAGCAUGUAUAGGCUAUAGUGUUAUGUUAGUUUUGUCUGUUAGAGUCGUGCCGUAUGGGGGCCCCUCAGGUUACCACAUAUGUAUGCUUGUGUGGCUAGUUUGAGAUGUGAAUCCUAUAGGGUGAUUCCUUCGAGUUCACUGAGAGCCCAGAUGUGUCCCUACGGGACCAUUGGAUAAUAUGCGUUCGGGAGCGCAAUAGUAUACGGUACCAUGUUACAGGACUCUAACGAGAUGUUAAUAGACACAUAGUAAGACUAAUAUGAGUCUCUUACUGAGUAUAAAUUUAUACUCACUCCUUUAAAUGUUUAAUUUUCAGGUAAGGGUAGAGGCAAGGGAAGGGCAAACCGGCGAAUGAUAAUAAGUGAUUGAGGAUCACCAUAGGAAAUAAUUAAGUUUUCUUCCGCAUUUAUAUUUAAGUAGUUAUAUUUUCAUAGGUUUAUUUCAGAACUCCGGUUCAAUUACUUUAAGUAUUUCUUCUAUUUUAUGGGCCCAAACUAGUAUUUUGAUUAGUUAUUUUAA
rnacentral:lncRNA from 1 species